UGUUGAAACACCAGUUCCUGUACAAUCACUGAAGUUAAGCCACAUCUAGCCUGGUCAGUAUCUAGAUGGGUGACCACUUAGAAAUACCAGGUGCGGUA